rnacentral:rRNA from 1 species
GACGAACGCUGGCGGCGUGCCUAAUACAUGCAAGUCGAACGCAGUGGGGACGGGUGAGUAACACGUGGGUAACCUCCCAUCAGAGGGGAUAACACUUGGAAACAGGUGCUAAACCGAUACUGAUGGAUGGACCCGCGGUGCAUUAGCUAGUUGGUGAGGUAACGGCUCACCAAGGCCACGAUGCAUAGCCGACCGUAGAGGGGGAUCGGCAAAACUGGGACUGAGACACGGCCCAGACUCCGACGGGAGGCAGCAGUAGGGAAUCUGCGGCAAUGGACGAAAGUCUGACCGAGCAACGCCGCGGGAGUGAAGAAGGUUUGCGGAUCGUAAAACUCUGUUAAUCGGGACGCGGUACCGGAAUAGAAAGCCACGGCUAACUACGUGCCAGCAGCCGCGGUAAUAC